GGCACUGUAUGGUAUCUGCAGCCAGCCGUUUCUCCAAGCUGGACUGUUCAUUACACAGUGCAAGAGCAACCCGGCAUCUGGCAUCGUUGGUCUCCAUGCUUCCUAGUGCCUUGGAGUCCUGGUAUUCGUGCUGAAACAAGC